AUACUGCUGAAGAGUCCAAGACUAGGGCGAAACAGCCGUUCAGUAC
rnacentral:hammerhead_ribozyme from 1 species